rnacentral:rRNA from 1 species
AGCGAACGCUGGCGGCAGGCUUAACACAUGCAAGUCGAACGCCCGUAGCAAUACGGGAGUGGCAGACGGGUGAGUAACGCGUGGGAACAUGCCCUUUGGUUCGGAAUAACUCAGGGAAACUUGAGCUAAUACCGGAUAAGCCCGAGAGGGGAAAGAUUUAUCGCCGAAGGAUUGGCCCGCGUCCGAUUAGCUAGUUGGUGAGGUAAUGGCUCACCAAGGCGACGAUCGGUAGCUGGUCUGAGAGGAUGAUCAGCCACACUGGGACUGAGACACGGCCCAGACCCCUACGGGAGGCAGCAGUGGGGAAUAUUGGACAAUGGGGGCAACCCUGAUCCAGCCAUGCCGCGUGAGUGAUGAAGGCCCUAGGGUUGUAAAGCUCUUUCGGCGGGGACGAUAAUGACGGUACCCGCAGAAGAAGCCCCGGCUAACUUCGUGCCAGCCGCCGCAGUAA